UUUGUUUAUAAAUGAUGUAAAAAGCAAGAAUGUAAUUUUGGAAAUUAUUGGAGAGAAAUCCAGAUUUUCAGGCAGCUAGAGAGCACUUGUACGCUUGGUUUGAAAGAGAUUCUGCUUAUGUGUGUAGAGUUCACACCUGGCUUUCAUAGUUGCUGGACAGCACAGAGAAGCCUUCCCACUUUGAUUUAGGGGCUUGUUCUGAAUGGGGAGAUCACAAAAGGGGUUUGGCAGAGUUUGGGUGCUGGCAGAGAGUGGGAAGGAGUGGGUUGCUCUUGUGUGUAGGUGGGAAAUAAAAUACUCAUGUCUGCCUGUCUAAGAAUGCUGACUGGAAACAGGAAGGUUUGGCUCCUCAGUUUUACACUCUCUGAUGAAGAACCCAGGUGAUGGUGCAAAGUUAAAUUUGUCCCAUUCCUGUGUACUGGACUUAAAUGGACUUUGAAGCAGGCAGUACCUUCCUGUGUUGAAACCCCAGCUGAUGGCUAAUGCCUGUCUGCCUUGUAGAAAUGCCAAGAGAUGAAAGCAAAGAUGUGGUGGCUGCUGUGAGGAACCACUUGGAAACCAGUUUCUGAGGUGCCUUCUGAACACAGCAUUAUUUUCCUCUCCAGGAACACAGAGAAAGAGUCCCUGUAAAUGUAUACUGGGAUUUGGGCAAACCUGUGUUGCAUUAAGUCUCCCUGAAUUAAUGUUAUUUUUCCCAGACAUUGCAUUUUAGAAAGAUUUUUUAAUUGGAAGGGGUGGCCAAAGCCUUUUAGUAAUUUUUAAGCAUCCUAUAGUGAUUUGCUAUUCUCUCCUAAAAAUAUGCUUUUAUUUCCUGCUGGAAUUGGUUUCACUUUGACAUUGGACCUUGUUAUGCCUUUGUCUGCUAACCUAAAGAUCCUGUUAAGUCAGAAAAAUCUCUUUCUUAAAGUAGGUAUUUAUAGACUAAUUUAUCAUUUAAGCCAAACUGAACGUUUUUAAAACUCUUGGUGGAAAGUUGAUUUUACAGACCUUGAAUCAUUUUUUCCUUAUCCUUUGUGAACCCUUGCUUGACCUCUGCACUCUGAGAAUGAUGACAGAAAUGUAGUGGACUGAUCUCCAGUCAUGGUGUCUCCAUGGUCUCAUGAACAGGCAGUUGUAUAUUAUCAUGGGAUAUUUCUAUUUUUAGAUUUUGCAGCUCUACAGCCAUGCCAGUUGUUGUUAACCUGAAUUACAGAGACAUGUAUAUUUAUUCUUUAGGGCUUAAUAAUUUAAUGCUUUGCCUCUCACGCUUCACUGAUACUUGAAAGUAAACGAUAACAUUUUUCUUUUCAUCCUUUCCUCUUGCCUGUUUAUCGGAAAAUUUCACAGAAAUUAACUUUUUAAGUAAGCAAUACAUGUUUAGAGAUAGAAAAAUAUCCCAAAAGGAUUUGAUUUCCACUCUUUGUUGUACCCAACCAUGUCCUAAAAGCCAAUGAAGGAGCAGUCUCAGAUACAGAGGAAGUCAGGAGACAACUAGUCAUUAUUCCUUGUUAUUUCAUUGUGUGUUCCUUAUUCUGGUAUUAUCAGGCUGAAGAGUUAAAACAUUUUUUUAGUCUUUCCUUUUUUCAAAGCACUCCAGCCCAACACACCCCAAGGAAAGGAUCUCAGAGCUCAGGGAGCUAUAAAGUUUUUCCUCUCUCUGGGCAAUAAGUAAAUGUGUUUUCUCAUUAUUUUUCUCUGUUGUUAGCACAUUAAUCUGAAACCAGAAAGAAAAGACCAACAAGUACUAAGGGUGAUAAGGGAUUUGCUGAUGUUUCAUGAAGGCAGCUAGAUUGCUGCAAUACAGCUGGGAAAUAGGAAUACUAAAGUCUACUCUAAACGCCAUUUUACGAUAAUGACUCAUAAAAUAUCAGUUCUUUGUUUUAAGAUUUUGUGGCUGUAUAGUAACUAUGCAUUUCAGGAGAAAGUAUCUCUAAGUUGAGUACUAAGACUAACUUAUCAAAUUGAGAGGAAAUGAGGGAAAGAGAUUAUUUUUUUUAAGCUCAAAUGUGAUUUUUCUGGCCCCAGAUUUUCAAGUAAAAAUUGAAGAUAAAUCUUAAGGAAAGAAAAAAAAAGCAGACUAUAAAUGUAAUAACUUGCUGGAGCAUUUUACGAACCCUCAGUACAAACAAUAUUUCUUGUGAUAGCUUUGAAGAUGGAAUUUGGACCAUAUUUCAUGUGCUGGUGCAUAUAACAGUGGCUGUAGUAUAUGACAAAUAUUUCUCUCUUUUUUUUUUUAGAAAACCUAGAACUCCUAUUGCACUUUAUCUUGUUCACUAUAGAUCUGCAAGUGUUUUGUUGAGGGGAAACAAAGAACAGCAAAAAAAUAAAGGGAUUAUAACCUUUCAUAUUAACUGAGAUCUUUGUUGUAUUCAUUGCACUCAAAAUGGACUCCAGAAAUGCUCUUCGUAAUGAGACCAUGUCAAAGAGCCUGGUCUUUAAUUUGUGGAAGUAGGGAUGCUCUGCAGUGCAGCUCCACAGAACUCAGCAGAGCUGCUUCAGACAGCCCCAGAGGAGGGUCUGCUUUAUCUGUUUGGUGUCAGAACAACUUAACACACGGUUGGUAUCAUCCUUCCCAGGUUCAGUUUACUGUGCAGUUAUUAAGGUAUAUAUAUCUGGAUGUCUGUAAUGAAGUUAUUUGCAGCCAAACCCAGACAAUCUGUGCUCCUUUUGGUCAAUAGGUCAGGUGAGUUGGAUCCUAAAAGUGUUCAUUCCAGGGAGCUGGAUGAAGCAGGGCUCUAACCUUUGCAAAAGGAGGCAGAAUACAGAUAUGUUUAGUCUUUUGUAGAUGGGUUAUAAGCUUGUUUUGCUCUUGAUCCUCAUCUGAAAGAAAUGGACCAUUACUAGUGUGAAUAUAUCCUGCCUUUGACCUGAGAUAUACCUGGGAUAUAUUACCUGGUGCAAUAUGUGGACUGGUGUAAUAUAUAUAAUCCCACCCCUGCAUGGACCCAUCAUGAACCUGUGGUGAACACGGUGGUGUUGGGUUAAUUUUGGACCCAAUCAUCUUAGAAGUCUUUCCAACCUUAAUGAUUCUGUAUUUUUUCAUUCUGUGAUUUACCUGUGCUGAUGGAGCAAGCUGGGUGGGUGGCUGAGCCCGCACUGGCCAGGCUGCCCCUGAGAUGUGCAAAUCCACAUUUAGGUACCGUGGGAUAUGAGAAAAGCUGCUGCAAAAGGGCAUUCUGGCUAUUUUGACCCUGCAGAGCACUUCUCUGUUUCACAGGCAGCGACUGGCACUGGAGUAAUUUGAAGCAAGUUUUGGCCUCUUGUGAUUACUGCAGCCCAGUGAAGGCUAAACAAGCCUGGAAUUUAUUGUAAAUGUGGGGGGAAUAUGAGGGAGGCCGAUGAGAUAUCUUAUCCCUUUUCCUUGUGAUUUGUGCUGUUUUAUUUUGCUGCACCUCCUAAUCCCCCUCACAGUGGCUGCCCAGUGAAGGUGUGCAAACACAACUCAGAGCUCUCCAGGAAUGGAAGGAGUACCAAGACUGGCCUUGCAUAGCAACAAGGACUACAGUGCUGUGUGCUUUGCAAUUUGUGGUGGUGCCCUUAAAUCUGACUUCACCCUCAGGAGGAGAUCCUGGACAGAGGUGACUGUGGCAGGCUUUAAAGGGAAUGGUCAGGGUGGCAAACACUCUGCCAGACUGAUUUUGCACAGUUCACCCCUGACGCCUUCUCUGUCUUUCCCAACACAGCUCAGGAAAGGUGUGAGGGAGAGGAAGCAGCUGCCUCGUGGGAAUCUGUGUGUCCCUGUCAGGAGUGUGACCUGGGACAGUGGUUCCACUGCUGAAGGAGCAAUGUGAGGAUGCUUUUGUAGGGACAGGUUUCAGCAAAUUGUUGCUGGUCCUGCCUGUGCUCUGAGCCACUUUGAAACCUGAAGUCAGAAGUGCAGUGGUGACACAAACACAACCUAUCUCCUCCUGUCAGCUUCCACCCAAUACAGAAAGUUUUUCCAAAAUCUGUCACUUGGAGAAAAAGAAAUUCUGUUAAAAAGUCCUUAUGUAUGUGUCCAGAGAUAGACUAACUUGUGCACGAAUAGAAUUUCUGCCUUAGGAACUGGGCAAUAAUCUAAAUUUGUCCAACAUACAGCAGCAAAAUAGGGAGGGGAAAAAAAGUACUUUUUUUCCUCAGCAAGGACUCCAAGAACUCCAAGAUACUGAUAACAUUUAACCUUCUCUCCUCUUCUGUAAAUAUCUGUCCCCUGAGGACCUUGACAAUGGCUAAAACCCAACUGUUCAGUCCAGCAGAGCUCUAGAGACAUCCUGCUGUUUUAAAAUUGUAACUGUGAAACAGGAUGGCAAUGGCUCAUUUUAAAAAUUCCCUAUGAUACCAUUUCUAAAUCAAGUUAGUAUGCAAGAAGUGUCUUGGAGCAGGAGAGAGGCUUUCCUGUUUUUCAUUCUCCUCUGGUAUUGUCUGCGUGGGAGGCAGCUGUUGGAAGGCCUGCAGGAACUUGAGAAUUUGACUGAAAGCCAUAAAAUUGUACAAAUGCAUUCAAAAGCUUUGUACAGUUUCUAUUGGAAUCUGGGUUGCAAGUUUAUGGUGAAACCUGAAAACUUCAUCUGCCCGUUAUCUUUUUUGAUGCAAAUGUUUUGCUGUGAAUAUUUUGGAACAUCUAAUUUGAAGUAUUAAAAUAUAUCUGCAAGGAAGAGGUGUAAAUACUUUCCUGGAAUCAACUUCCGUGCAAGAAAUUAAUUACAGAAAAGAAUUCUCUUCAACAUCUACGUCUGCAUAUGUCUGUUUUCAUCUAGGGCUGCUGUUCGUUGCUAUUCAGAGGUGCUUUCCAACCGUUUUAUCAUAUUGUGUUAAUUAAGAUGAUGUUUUCAUUAGUUUCAGUUCACAUAUUGUUGGAAUAUAGAUUUUUGAAGAGAGAUUUUAGCAGAUAAUGGAACGUGGGCAGCACAGUGGAGGCCACAGGGAGCUCAUUACCCUUUUCUCAAUUCGUUGUGGUUUCAUCAGUCAUUAAUUCCACUCUAAGUACCCUAUUGUUAGAAUGUACAUUGUGAGUGACUUUGCUUUUCAUAUUCAACAACGUGCCACUUUCCAUACAUAAUACAAAGGUAGACUGUAAUUAUUGGAAGGAUUAGAAUACUUCAAAAGAUUUAGAGACGUGGAAGAAGGCUCCCUGAGGAGGGUGCAUUUGAGAGUGUUUGAGACAACAACACAAAUAACCUUGUAAGGCUGGAGAAAAAGGCAGUGAAGAAAAGGGAUGAUGUUGAACUUGCUCUCAUUUCACAAAGGGAUAGAAUGAGUUAGGUUGGAAGAGGACUCUCUCUGGUCCAAGUCCCUCCUUGGGACUUGACUUCAGUGUCAGGUGAUAUUGCUCAGGGCCUUUUCCAAUUGGGUUGUAAAUAUUUUUGAGGACCCUGAUUUCAGGCUUGACUACCCUCAGGAUGUUAAGCUUUUACUUUUAUUUAAAGGGAUUUUUUCUUGUGGUAACUAUCGUCUCUUACCCCUUGUUGCGCUUCACCGCUCUGGACAAUUUGUGUGUCUUCUGUCUAUACCACCCCACUAAAUAGUUAAAGACAGUAAUAAGAUCCUCCCUUGGACCCUCUUUCUUUUCCAGGCAGAACCAAAACAGCUUUUUCAGCUUCUCAUGGUACUUUGUGUGCUCCAGGCUCUGGAACAUCUGCUGUACUCUCUUUUGUAUGUCUGUGUCCCUCUUGUAUACAGGAGCCCCAAAUGAUAUGCAGUAUUCCAUACGCUGUCUUGCAAGUCCAUGAUGAAAAAUCACUUCUUUCGACUAGUUGUCUAUGCUUUUGCCCAGUAUUUCGUUGUUUUUAUUUGCUGCAGUGGUACACUGCUCACUUGUCCUCAAUUUGCCCACCAGCAACCAUGGAUGCUUAUCCAUGGAGCUGCUCUCCAGCUGCUUGGCCUCCAGCCUGUGCCAGUGUGCAGAUGAUUCCUCCUCAUGUGCAGGGCAUUUCCUGAACUCUGGGAAAUUUCUGCCAGCUCAUUUCUCCAGUCUGUUAAGGCCCUGCUCCAGCUCCCUCUUGCCAUUCUUGAAGAUGCAUAUGAUGUUUGUCAUCACCCUUGCAUGCAUCCUUCCUGUUCUUGGAUACUUUGGUACAGGCUUGUGUAGUCUCUAAUUUGAUGUUCUUCUACCACAAGCAGGGCUUCACUGCCCUCGGCUUUGGCCUCAGUGCAGGGGUGUGGCGCACUGGUAUAUGUUUAUAUCCAUACCCACUCAAUUCACAUACAGGAGCAAAAGGACACACACAUAUAAAACCUUCUGCCCUGACAUCCCUGUCUCCUUGUACCAUUGCAAAUGGACCAUGUGCAUGCUAAGGCUCACCCCUGGGAGCUGGAAGCAAGCUCCCCAAAAUGGAUUGAGGUGAUACCAGACUUACGGCUGGGCUAUUGUUCAAUUAAUAGAUUUUGGUUGCUUACUAGAGGUCACAGCAUGGCCAGAUCCAGAAGUGAAGGCUCUCCCUGGAAAAGUGAAGUGAUGGCUGGUUAUAAGUCAGCUCUCACGCAGAUGCAUGCAGAGGCAGUUAGGACAGAGAGCUACCAACUAUCAGGAAAGCUGAGUAUAAUCCUGGCACAGUCCUAUAACUCACAGAGCAUAUUAGGUGCUGAAAUUCUUAUUCCUCAUUUUCUUGACAAAUGAUGCAACAAGAGCAGAAAAUGGCUAAUAUGAAUCUUGUCUCAAGACUGUGAUUACAGUGGUAAUAAGGAAUGAUGUAAACUUAACUUGCUCUUGUUACAGAGUGCUAAGGAGAGGGAAUUGGACUUCAGGAGCAGUGUGCAGCCAGAACAGAAGCUGGCUAUAAAAUAGCUGUUUAAUAACCCUUUUUCAUGAUUUUUGAAUUCUGUUUAGCAAGCAGGGUUCUUGUGUGAUACUCAGUGACAGAAAACAAAUGCUUCUUUGCUGUACCUUUUGACCAUCAAAGAAAAUUUUGUUUUAAGGAAGGACAUUUUGUAAGGAUUAUAGAAUCAUAGAAUGGUUUGGUUUGGAAGGUACAUUCAAAGGUCCUCUCUGCAAUAAUCAGGGACAUCUUGAACUACAUUAGAUUGCUCAGAACCCCAUGCAACCUGGCCUCAAAUGUUUCCAGGGAUUAUACACCACAUCUCUGGACAGCCUGUUCCAGUGUUUCACUGAAAAUUAUUGUAAGAAAUCAAAUUCAAAAAACUUCUUCCUUAUAUCUAGUCUGAAUCUACCCAUGUGGGACAUAAAAUACUUGUUCACAAAUACCAUCUUCUAGCCAGACUCUGUGUGGGUUUGCUUUACUUGAACAUGAAAUCUUGCAGAGAACACAAUACAUGAUACAGAAAUCACAGCAAAAGGAGGCUUCAGUUCCCAGAAAUCUCUCUUUACUGGUCUGGCUUUUGAUCCCUUUGUGUAUUUUCUAAGUAAACUAUCAUUAUUGGAUUAAUCCAAUAACUGGUAGAGCCCUUUAGUUUGCUUUCAGGAAGCAAUAAUGUGUCUCAGUGUCUUAGGAGGGGGCACAAUCCACUGUUUUGCAGCCCUCUGGGGCAACACUCUGCUGAGCUGUCAAUACAGGGAUUAUCAGGUGCCUCCACCUCUCACUUCCUCUGUCAAAAGGCUUCUCUCAAGAGCUUGAUUCCUUUAAAAGUCUUGUCUUCAUCUCUCCUUAGUGACCGUGAUUGAAAUUGCUUUUUCUGGAAUAUAAUAGCUCAGUUUAGGAGUGUCCAUUUCACCCAAUUCUUGCUAUUUUAAACUGUGAAAUCAAUUACCUUCAUUUAUUUGAAAAUAAAUAAUAUUUGUGUUCAGCAUCCCUGUUCUUUUGGUACUUUAGUGUUUCUUUAAUGCCUCCGUUUAUCUGUGGCCAAAUGAGAACUAUUUUAUUGGGAUUUUCUGAUUCUGGUAUUCAUUCUGACAUUUUUCUUUCCACCAGUGUAGAAGUUGGUUUGUUCAGCCCUGAAACGCAUCCCAGACAAAAGUGUUAGAAUUUUGAUAGUAGAAACAUGCACACAGACUGAUUCUCUUCUAUUUGCAAUGUUUCUUCUUCAGUGAUCUGUUUCUAGUUCAUCUGCAGACUUGCAGAUUCAAUGCAAAGCUCUUUAUCAUGUUUGCAUGCAGGUUUACUGCUUGUUUCAGAUCAUUAGCUGCUCUUGAAAGUGUUUGUGGUAUUACUAAUGGGACCCAAGCUGAACCUUAGUUGUGAUUAAGUACUUCCAUAUUUGCAAAAUCCUCUUUGGUGGUAUCUGUUACUUUCUCUUUUGGGUCUUACAGCCAGUGCUCAUUGAUUAGUUUCUGCUUUGAAACUGCAACUCCAGGGGAAGCUUGAAAAUGUUAUUCAUAGAUACUUGCUUGGGUCAAUAUAGCAAAUGCACCAUCUAUUUCACUUUGUGAACACAUCUCCAAGUAGCUCCCAAACCUGUGGGUUUGUAAGAGGCUAAUAAACAGCCUGCUCUGUGAUUCUGCAGCAGUUCUGCUCCCAGCCCUCCCUGCUGCUUCUGUAAGGAGAGUUUGAUUUCUUUCGACAGGUUGGUGUUUUCUGCUGAUGCUGAAAGGGUUUUCUUUCUUGGGCUCCUCUUGUGCCGUAGCAUCCAUGGCAGUUUGCUAAUCUAGCACAAGUUCUGUGAGCUUUGCAGGGGCCUUACAUUUCCCUUCUGACUUUUGAACCAUUUUAUAUAAGAGUCUUGGCACAUGCAGUAUUACUUGAAAAUGAGGUCAUGGGGCAAGGUUUUUUUGCACUUUAGAGUAAUAUGGCUCUUGCUUGAAACUAACAGCUGGUCUUUUAUGGCUUAAGAUCCUUUGCUUCAGUCAUUCCUAGUGUUUGCUGCAGCUCAUAUCCCCAGGCCAUCAGCAUGCCCUUUCACAUUUUCAGAUGAACUGUGUCUGGCUUGCUGUCCAGUGAAAUCUCUAUACACAUUCCUGUGCAAUAUUUAAAUUCUGCUUUACAGUCAUGAGGUGGAAAUAGAUGUAAGGGUUUCAGCUCUGCUCAUAGAUUUAGCAUCCUGCUCUACCAGCUUCCUCUGUCAUGGCACAGAAGGUACAAAAGUGUCAUUUUGGAUCCUUUGCUGCAUCCCAUGGUAUUGUCCUGAAGAAAGGAGAAUGCUCAACUUCUCAUGUCACUAAACUUGACACUUCUGCAUAAUUUUGACCAGCUGCAGAUCAAAACCAAAAAAUUGUGCAAGCCAAGAUAAUGGCCCAGAAUCCUUCCAAGGUGAAGAAAAUGGUUCCUACUGCAAUAGAAAAUGCAGGGGAAAUGUACAAGAAGGCCUCCUCCAUCUGAUGGUGUUGUGUAGGUACAGCCAGGCUAUCCACAUGUGACACUUCUCUAGCCUGCCUUCAAAAACUCCUAUAUGAGGAAGAUUCAGUAGGUUCUCUAGGAGGUUUGAAAAAGAAUUCUGUAAUUCUGAUGUAACAUUACCUUUUCUCUUGCUUUACUGGUAACCAAGGAGAAAUCAGAUCCAUUAAUUGGGUUCUUCUCUAAAUGUUAUAUCCUGCUUUUGUAUGGCAGAUGCCACAUGCUCCAUGUCUUUUCUGAACUCCUGUGAUUUUACUGGCAUAUGUUGUUUGGUCAUAUUUAUAUUCUGGGCUCUGUAUAGGAUACUCUGGUAAUAGAAAUUUAAUGGUUCCCACUGUGUUUAAUUCAGUCAUUGUAUUUAGCUACACUUGCUCCUCUGUGUCCAUCUUGUAUGUGUUGUGUGUUUUACUGGAAUACUAUUUAAUUAAUAAGAUCUCUCAAAAACAAUGAUUAAAAAUUCCACACUGUAUUUAAAACACACAUUUCACUGACUUUUAGGUGCACUGGAACAUAAGUUUUGCACUGGAACAUAAGUUUUGCACAUCAGCCUUUUUGUCCAUUGUCUGUGCAGUUGCCUGAACUUUUUUUCUGUAGUCUUUAUUUUCCUGUAGUUGUGCUGAUUGCUGUGUUACUGCCAUUGCUUCCUGCUUUCCACCAUUUGCAAAAUUCACCUCUGUUGCAGUUGCUUCCCAAUUUGCUUACAGAUUCUUAUCAAUAUAUCUUCUUGGCCUUUCUCCAGGAUUCUGUGUAGCUAUUUAUUUUACUGUUUGAUAUAUGCACAUCUGUAUCUAUCUUGACUACAGUGGUGUGAAAUCCAUCCCUAGAGCUAACAGACUUGCUUUUUAAUAGUUAUAACCUGUCUGGUUUUUAAUAAGAAAGUCUUUUAUGACCCCAUCUUCAGAGGAAGUGGUCCUUAAAUUUUCCUCUUCAUUUUGUCUCUUCCUUGUUGCAGUUUUUUAAUAAGUAAUGCACAGUGCUCUAGACUUGCUGUGGAUUUGUAAAUGCAUUUCCAUCUUUGCUGAGUUUUUGUAUUAAUGUUCACAAAAUACACAGUAUUUAGGGUGAGGGAAAAAAAGAGCAUAUAAGACUUUCUUCAAACAACAGGCAGAACCCUCAUGUUCACAAGCCCUGGACCUCAGAGUGGACUUAAGCCACCCUGAUACGUGCUGGAAAGGCCCAGCAGGGCCAGGGCACAGGCAAUGCAACAGGUUUCUGAUGACAGCACUGAUAAGAGCUUCUUGACACAGGUGAUUGAGAAGCUGAUGAGUGGGGAGACACUGCUGAACCUCAUGCUUACAGUGCUGGGGCAUGUGGAGUUUGGCAGAAACCUUGAUGACACUGACUGCAUAAAGGUAAAAGUCAGGAUUAUGAAAGGAGGGCAAAAAGCAGGAUCACAGCCCCAGACUUCAGUAGAACAGACUUUGAGUCUUCAGGGACCUGGGCCUUGUUCUGUCCAGUUUGAAAAUCUCCAAAGCCAGUGAUUCUCUGAGCAUGACUCUCUCUGUGAAUGUCUUUUCCCCUCUUCCAUUUUCCUGUCUUCUGCCUUUUCAUGGUACAAUUGCUGGAUUAUCCCAUCUCUUUCCAGCAGCUAAACUCCUUUGACUGAACUGUUGAAGUCAAUUGAUCUGCUAUGGUCAGCCAUGUACACACAGCUUUCUAUUUCACUGACCUGUUCAGUUUUCCUGUCUUGUGGGGUCUUAUCUUCUUCAGUGAACAUUUCAGUACUGCAGCUCAAAGUGGUCAUAAGGUUGCUGGGGAGAGGCAAGGAUGAGAGAAACAAGAGCACAGCUGGUGCUAUUUUCAGCCUGUUCAGUCUGGGAUCAGUGUACAGGGAGUGUCAACACACAUCUUGGAAGCGUGGCUACACACUUGGAGGUCUUUGUUUUCCUCACCUAAGAAUGAUGUUUGACAAGGCGAUGAGUGAAAAUGGAGACCAGCGAGGAUCUUUGACUUAGAAUUAAUCACUCCCAGAAGUAGCAUAAAAAAUGGUGACUUAGGUGGACAUAAAAAUCAGGCUGGGUUGUUCUUCAUAAAGUCAUAGGAGUGGAGAGCUCUCGCUGUAAUGCAAGAAGGAUGAUGAACAAGCAGAAGGAGCUUUAAAUCUUAAUGCAGGUUCUCAGUUACCCGCAUAUCUGUUGCAAAUAAAAUGUAUUUCAGAGGGAGCCUGUUCAGCAAGUGCUUUGAAUGUGUUUCUGAUGGACUUUGGUAAAGAUAAUUAAGGUAAGUAGAAUAGGGUGAACUUUGAUUAAAUACUGACCGAUAGGAAGAAACUGACAAUAUUUAGACAAAGAUCAUGUUACCUGAGAAUGAUCAUGAAAUUAUACAUUUAUGAUUCACAGGACUUGAAGGAACAUAAGUAGCAAAACAGUAACAAUGGAUUUCAAGUAGGAAGGCUUCAAUACCCACAAAAUUGGUAGGUGUUGCCUGGGAGGCAAGCGUGAUGGAACAGGGAAUUUAAGAAAGCUGGCAAUUUCUUAAAGAAGAAUAUUAAUAAGGCUCUCUCCUUGAGGAGGAGAGAUAAGACGUCAGUAAGAGAUCAACUUGGUUAAAUUAUGAGCCUUUCAUUGACUUCAAACACAGGAGGAAAGGGUACAGAGACAAGAAACUAGGUGAGGUUACUAAGGAGGAGAAUAAAGGCAUUGCAAGAGCUCUCAGUAACCUAAUCAAAAAGGUUAAGACAUAAAGUGAGAUGAAAUAGCAAGGCACAUUACUUAGGAGAAGUCCAAAUGUUGACACUUAAUAGACAGAAGAUUUGGAGAAGCCUAAAAUGAUGAAUGCUUUAUUCUGUGCUGAUCUUCACUUGCCAUCAGGUAGACAGCACUAUUAAUGCCUGUGCACAACAGAGUGAAAUGACAGCCAGAGCAGGAGAGCGAAACAGCAGAGGGAGUUCUCAAAUUGAUCAUGUAAAGUUUUUCUGUCAAAGGAAUUUUAGCAGCCCUUAGCUGAUAAAAAGCCCUUAUUAUCCUUUUUCCCAUGAGAGUACUUGGAGAUGAGUGAGGUACUCAGUGGGUGUAGAAUGUGGAUGGGUACUAGGGAAGUGUGGUCUAGAGGAAAUGACUGUAGACUGAUUAGUUCUCUCAGAACAAUAUAACACAUGAGCAUUUCACCUUGAAAUGAAGGAUAUUGUCAGUGAAGUCCUUCAAAGUUUCCUCAGGGUUUGGCUGCUGUUGUUAGUGACCUGUACAAUGCAGAGGAUCCUGAGAUGAGAAUCCCCAUCAGAACGAUACAGACCAUAAUUAAAAAUGAUCCUGACAGAAUGGAAGUAUGACCAGAAAAAUGAGAAUAUUAUUUAAUAGGGAAGGAUUACACUUAUGUAGGAAUAAUAAAGUAUGUGAGUAUAGGAUGAGACGAAAACUCUCUGGACAUUCUGAGAUGGGUGAAGAGGCUACAGAGAACUGCAAACUAGACAGAGAUGAAUGAUUGCAAGCUUUUCAAAGUAGUUAGUGUCACAGGGAAUGUGUGAACAGCAGCACAGGCUGCCAUGUGAGGUAAUUAUUCCUGUGCAGCAAAAGGAUGGCCUUAGAGAGAGAAUUGUGCCAUUUUUAGUGCUGUCCUUCAAGACAGAGAUGAUCUAUUCUCUAGCUGAGAACAGUUUGAAACAUGACCUAAAAAGAAAUAUUGAAAGAAUUGGGCUUGUUCAAGAUGAAAAAAGAAUGCUGAUAAGAACAUGCUAUCUUCCUUAUUUAAUUUUCAUAUUACUUUUUACUUAUUUUCCCUCCUAUUUUCUCUUGUUAAAGAAAAAAGGAGAGUAUCUUCUCUAAGUGCAUUUUGAAAAUGGAAAAAGGACAAGAUUUGACCUUCAGCAAGGAAGUUUCAAGUUGGGCUGUGGAAACUCUGUCAUUGGGGCUGACUUAGUUGACAAAUGUUCAUCAGGAAUGCCUUGGGCAGGGAGAUGGGUGGACCAGCUCUUCCAGGGACCCGUGUCUCUGAUCCUCCAACCAUUCCUCGACAACCACCUGCGAAGGAGAGAUCGUGUGCACGCGUAGGCACUGGGAGAGCGCUGCCUGAGCGGCCCACGAGGGACCCAGCAGGGACGACCGCGGCAUCGACCCACCGAAACCUGCAUUCAGUAACAUCUAGUCACCAAAGAGAGGGAUAAUAUCCCAUGGCACAGCUGAUUUCUCACUUUAUACAGACUGAGAGUGAAAUUCAUAUAGAAACCUUUGAUUGAAAACUUUAUUUCUGUAUGAUGUGUAAAUACUACAUUAUCACUUCACAAUUGACGAGUGAGCAGAAAAAUAAACAUCUUUGUAAUCAUUUGUUUGUAAUACAGGCAAAUCUGUUCACAUUAUGAAAGGAAUAAAUUUUACCAGCUUCUGGGUAUCUUUUUUUUUUUUUCAUUGUUUGUCACACUUCAGAAUGGAAUAAAUCUGAAAGAACAUCAUAGAAAGGCAAAAUAUAAGUGCUGAAUAGAAAAAUUGGCAAGGAGUUAGGACUUGUCUAUCACUUGUCAUACGUCAGUUGCAGAGGAGGCAUAAAUGACUCUUGUUAGACUCCGAGAUGGUUUGUAUUGACAGAGUUUGUUGUGUUUAAUUGCAUUAAAACUUUCCAUAAGACAAUAUAUUUCAGCCUUGUGUACUCUGAGUUUUAGAAAAUAGUUGUAGAUAGAAUUUCCUAGAAAUAAAUGAUGCUGUGGGUUGAUUGAUACAUAUGAACCCAAAGCCCUCUAAGACUGUUUGGCAGCUAAAAAAGCCUCUAAGGAAUCAAGGACAAGUGUAAGACUUUUCUUCUUAAUAAAUCUGUUCUCAUGAGCCAUGAAUAAUUCUGAUAUCUAGGACAAUUUUUUCAGGACAGAG